rnacentral:rRNA from 1 species
ACGAACGCUGGCGGCGUGCCUAAUACAUGCAAGUAGAACGCUGAAGGAGGAGCUUGCUUCUCCGGAUGAGUUGCGAACGGGUGAGUAACGCGUAGGUAACCUGCCUGGUAGCGGGGGAUAACUAUUGGAAACGAUAGCUAAUACCGCAUAACAGUAGAUGUUGCAUGACAUUUGCUUAAAAGGUGCAAUUGCAUCACUACCAGAUGGACCUGCGUUGUAUUAGCUAGUUGGUGAGGUAACGGCUCACCAAGGCGACGAUACAUAGCCGACCUGAGAGGGUGAUCGGCCACACUGGGACUGAGACACGGCCCAGACUCCUACGGGAGGCAGCAGUAGGGAAUCUUCGGCAAUGGACGGAAGUCUGACCGAGCAACGCCGCGUGAGUGAAGAAGGUUUUCGGAUCGUAAAGCUCUGUUGUAAGAGAAGAACGAGUGUGAGAGUGGAAAGUUCACACUGUGACGGUAUCUUACCAGAAAGGGACGGCUAACUACGUG